UACGGAAGGGGCAAGCGUUGUUCGGAAUCAUUGGGCGUAAAGGGCGCGUAGGUGGUUCUGUAUGUCUACCGUGAAAGCGUACGGCUCAACCGUAUUUUGUCGGUGGAAACUGCAGGACUUGAGGCUGGGAGGGGCUGGUGGAAUUCCCUGUGUAGCGGUGAAAUGCGCAGAUAUCAGGAAGAACACCAAUGGCGAAGGCAGCUCUCUGGGACGGUACUGACGCUGAGACGCGAAAGCGUGGGGAGCGAACAGG
rnacentral:rRNA from 1 species